AGCAUCUGACAUUCCUCUGAAAACUCAGAGCAGAGUGCUUUGACACACACACACACACACACACACAG